UACGGAGGGUCCAAGCGUUAUCCGGAAUCAUUGGGUUUAAAGGGUCCGUAGGCGGUUUAGUAAGUCAGUGGUGAAAGCCCAUCGCUCAACGGUGGAACGGCCAUUGAUACUGCUAAACUUGAAUUAUUAGAAAGUAACUAGAAUAUGUAGUGUAGCGGUGAAAUGCUUAGAUAUUACAUGGAAUACCAAUUGCGAAGGCAGGUUACUACUAAUGGAUUGACGCUGAUGGACGAAAGCGUGGGUAGCGAACAGG
rnacentral:rRNA from 1 species